UACAGAGGUCUCAAGCGUUGUUCGGAUUCAUUGGGCGUAAAGGGUGCGUAGGCGGGCUCGUCAGUCGGGGGUGAAAUCCCACGGCCCAACCGUGGAAGUGCCUCCGAUACUGCGGACCUGGAGGGGGAUAGGGGCGUGGCGGAACUUCCGGUGGAGCGGUGAAAUGCGUAGAUAUCGGAAGGAACACCGGUGGCGAAAGCGGCGCGCUGGAUCCUACUGACGCUGAGGCACGAAAGCCAGG
rnacentral:rRNA from 1 species